UACGUAGGGGGCAAGCGUUGUCCGGAAUUAUUGGGCGUAAAGAGCGCGUAGGCGGUCCGAUAAGUCGGCUGUGAAAGUCAAGGGCUCAACCCUUGAAAGCCGGCCGAUACUGUCGGACUAGAGUCCGGAAGAGGCGAGUGGAAUUCCCGGUGUAGCGGUGAAAUGCGCAGAUAUCGGGAGGAACACCGGUGGCGAAGGCGGCUACCUGGACCGGUUCUGACGCUGAUGCGCGAAAGCGUGGGUAGCAAACAGG
rnacentral:rRNA from 1 species